rnacentral:rRNA from 1 species
GAUCCUGGCUCAGAGUGAACGCUGGCGGUAGGCCUAACACAUGCAAGUCGAACGGCAGCACAGGGGAGCUUGCUCCUUGGGUGGCGAGUGGCGGACGGGUGAGGAAUACAUCGGAAUCUACUCUGUCGUGGGGGAUAACGUAGGGAAACUUACGCUAAUACCGCAUACGACCUACGGGUGAAAGCAGGGGAUCUUCGGACCUUGCGCGAUUGAAUGAGCCGAUGUCGGAUUAGCUAGUUGGCGGGG